UAGAUAUGAGAUCUCAUAUUGCAGUUUGAACUCUUGUUUCAGGGACUUCAACGCCAGCACAGUGCCUUCAAUUUGUUGCAAUCAGUAGAGUCCUUUUUCAGUACCAAUGGUGCAUCUUGUAAAUUAAAUGCAGCCUCAUUUGAUAUUGAUAUAAUGUUCCCCAAGGAGCAUUCUGGUGUCAUUUUGAGACACAGAAUGUAAACGAUGCUGACUAUCCAAACGAGUUGAAUUGUUCCAAUAGUCAAAUAAACAACCUGCACUUUCGUGUUUCGGUCUUUCAGCAGAUACCAGGGACACUUUUAGUGAGAGGAUCAUUGCAGAAGAAAGACAGAUCAACAAGCUCAGGUGCGGCUAGAAGGUUUUCUAAGAAAUAGUACAUUUUGUAGGGAAAGGACUGCUGCA